rnacentral:rRNA from 1 species
GAUGAACGCUGGCGGCGUGCCUAAUACAUGCAAGUCGAGCGAACGGACGAGAAGCUUGCUUCUCUGAUGUUAGCGGCGGACGGGUGAGUAACACGUGGAUAACCUACCUAUAAGACUGGGAUAACUUCGGGAAACCGGGGCUAAUACCGGAUAAUAUUUUGAACCGCAUGGUUCAAAAGUGAAAGACGGUCUUGCUGUCACUUAUAGAUGGAUCCGCGCUGCAUUAGCUAGUUGGUAAGGUAACGGCUUACCAAGGCAACGAUGCAUAGCCGACCUGAGAGGGUGAUCGGCCACACUGGAACUGAGACACGGUCCAGACUCCUACGGGAGGCAGCAGUAGGGAAUCUUCCGCAAUGGGCGAAAGCCUGACGGAGCAACGCCGCGUGAGUGAUGAAGGCCUUCGGAUCGUAAAACUCUGUUAUUAGGGAAGAACAUAUGUGUAAGUAACUGUGCACAUCUUGACGGUACCUAAUCAGAAAGCCACGGCUAACUACGUG